GCAGCUUGAGCUGUUAUUUACAUGGAUUGCACGAGACCAUCUACAAUGUCAUGCUGUUUCUUUGUUAGGAUACUAUUGUAGAGCUAAGCUCCUUAGCAUGCAAAGGAGCUUGCAAAUACCUCUUGGGAAAAUACCACAGAAGAUUUUUUUUUUUUCAUUUUAUAGGCAUCAAAAUAUCCUGCUUGGGUUGCCUGCCAUAAUCAAUAUUCUGAAGUUCAUAAUCAGUUUGGAAGUUUGAUGUCUGUUAGGCUAUAAAUGUUUUGAUUAUUUUGCCUGAUUCAUGGAUGUUUAUGUUCCACCAGCAAUCCAGCUUAUGAAACUGUUGACUGUUUUAAGAUCAAGCUUAGAAAUGACAAGCUCAUGAAAGGGUCUGGACAAUGCCUAUGAUGAGAACAUCUAAAUCUGAAAUUUUAUUCAUGUGCAGCAAUUCAUUAAUGAAUCUAUUUCAAAGAAAAUUGGGUGCUUCUGCUUGCAAGCAAAUCACCUUGUCUAUCAAACUGGAGAAAAUACAUUUGAUGUUGGUGUUCCAUCCAUUAGUAGGGAAUGUUCUUUUGGGACAUUACAAUGAUAUGUCAAUGCCUUAAAGACCACUAUGACAAUGUUCCCUUGAGCUUCAGCUUCAAGAAUGAUUGCCUCGGAGAAUUGGAUGCUGGAAACUAAUUCAAAUGGUACAGCAAUCAAUUCACUGGUGGUCUUUGAUUUUUUUUUCUUUUCUUCUUUUAUCUAAUUUAACUUGUUUUCUGUGUAACUCAUGAACUAAGAUGCUUUAUUAACCUUCUCUCACACACAUUCAUUCACCUACAAAUUAAAACAAAUGACUUUAGAUGUGAAGGUAAGAAAAAGCGGUGCCUUGAUCACCUGCAACAAGCAAAAAAUUAUUUUUCACUUUCCCAGUUACAGCAAGGCAUUUGGGUUUUCAAGAAGACUGAGAAGCAAUUAGCCUGUGAAGAACCUAAAUUCCCUGAUCUAUAUGUAAAGAAUCUGGAAAAUGGGUUGACUGAUGAUUGCCUAUGGGAAAAGUUCUCUGUAUUUGGGAAGAUAAUCAGUGCUAUUGUAAUGAGGAUGAUUAUGGCAAAUCUCAGGGCUUUGGGUUUGUUAGCUUCUAGUUGCCAAAAGAUGCUAAGAAGGUUAUGUGGGCCAUGAAUGGUGCACAACUAGGAUCAAAGAAUCUCCAUGUAGGAAGGGCUCAAAAGAAGGCUGAACGAGAGCAGAUGCUAAGUUGCCUAUUCAAGGGUUUGAACGUGUACAUGAAAAAACCUUGUUGACUCAGUUGAUGACAACGAAUUAUGUUAACUUUUUGGUACUUCCGGCAAAAUAAGUUCAACAAAAGUGAUGCUCAAUGGUGAAGGAUUUGAGUAGGGGAUUCGGUUUUGUGAGUUUUUCCA